CUUUGCAAAUGCAAAGGAUUUGAGUAUAUUUGCCCAUGAAAGUGUUUGUAUCCUCAGGUCUUUGGUUAUUGAACAGCCAGUCUUCUGCUAAUAGAACAUGCAAAAUAGGUCAGACAAGAGCCCAGUGCCAUCUCAAUGAUUCUCCAGUUUUUCUGUGUCCCUUGAAGCAAAGGAGAGUAUGAAAAGAUCUGAUUUUCAUUUUCAUAGGAGUUUUUGUUUUAUCAAAUACAUCCACCUCGGUUGUGAAAAGUUGGCUGAAGCAAGAAAGAACAGUUGAAUAUUUGUGCUUUCAAAUAGAAUUUCGCCAAAAAGUGUCACUACAACUCACUUGUACCAGGGACGAUCCUUUGCAACCUUAGCAAGGUCCAUAGAGUGCAGCAGAGAGCAAUGCAGAGGAAAACAAACCAGUAGAAAGUACAGGUACACAAAGUACAACUGGAGAGGCCCCCAGUGAGGAUCGGUAUUGUAUGCUGGUGAUCUACAAAGAAACCAGUUUAAAUAUAACUUGGACAUCUAUCACAGGACAUAGGCUUCCUUCAAAUUGACUCUGUCCAUUCUUUUCACUUAUAGUCCCUGACCAUUGGACUGCUGUGGUUUAAUUGUGUCCAAGAUCCAAGAUACUGCUCGGAUUGUUCUGCAAUAAAUUCUUCAGAUUCAGCAGGAGGGAGCCCAUAGAUGUUAAAGUAACCCCAUCCCUGCAGCCAGUGGUGCCACCGCUUUAAAGAAAGGAUUCUUUCUUCUGGAUCAAUCGGGGUUUUCCCAACAGCCAGCCCUGUUGUACAGGUGAUGUUUUGGAUGUGUGCCUGUUCUCUACACUUGCCUUUGAUUGCUUUCUUCUUUAUAGUUCUUUUCCUGCUAACUUCUUAAUGCCUUGCAGAAGGCAUUGGUUUUAUUAUGUGUCUGCCCUUGCAGUCCUCGCUCACAAAAAUGCUUCACCACAGUAUGCCCUUUUAUACCUUAGUCAUUCUUUCUUACUGCUGUACAGAGGGCAUAGCCAACCCUGGGAAAUCGCUUUCUGUGGCAUGCUGAUGUAUUGUGCUUAAUGUAUUAUCAACAAGGACAAGUCUGCCUCAGGCAACUCCAGCAACCCAAAAAGCAUGGGGAUUUUUUUAUACAGCAGCUCUUUUAAAAAGAAGUGCAUAUCUGAUGCAGAGAAACUUUUUCCUUUGGUUUCCUGCAGGUAAAAGCAGCAGUUGAUGCUAUGCAGAAAGACAAGCCAACAAGACAUUGCUCAGGUGAAACAAAGUGGAAAGAAACUAUGGUGAAUUUCAUUAGUACUGUCCAUUCGCAUAACAUUGCAGAGAACUUCAUGCAGCACCUAGGAGAAAACAUGUUCUAGAAGGGAUUCUAUUGUCAUCCCAGCACCAAAAGAGUAUUUUCCCUGAGCUCAUCAGUCAGGAUGAGUAGCAUCACGCCUUCACAGAUGUGCUCAGGAGGAACCUUCUACGACAGCUUCUCAAAGUGCUUUAUCUUUUUGCUGACAAAUGGGUGCCAGGGUCAGAACUUAAUGAAGUCUUCAGAGAAAAUUUUGCAAUGAAUUAGGGAAUCUCAAAGGUUUCCUGCCUGACAUUCCAAAAAACUGAGGUCAGGUGGGCAAUGGCCUGGAGUAAUUUACAGUUCGUGUCCCACUGAUAUCUUCAGACGUGAAAGCUGCUUGAGCACCUCUGCUAAUGCUCCUCAAGAAAAUUACCUGGACAAUUAAGCAUGGAAGUCAAGAUAGAAUGCCAGUGGUUGUUUCCCUCUGCACUGUGGAGCUGGAUUCAUGUCAGCAAGU